rnacentral:rRNA from 1 species
AGUUCAGAUCGCAGUCUGCAACUCGACUGCGUGAAGUCGGAAUCGCUAGUAAUCGCGGAUCAGCAUGCCGCGGUGAAUACGUUCCCGGGCCUUGUACACACCGCCCGUCACACCAUGAGAGUCGGGAACACCCGAAGCCCGUAGCCUAACUUUAACGAGGGGGCGCGGUCGAAGGUGGGUUCGAUAAUUGGGGUGAAGUCGUAACAAGGUAGC